GAAUUCAUAGCAAUACGGACUG
rnacentral:miRNA from 1 species